GAUGUUUCUUCUCUUUCUUCAAUUCUGCAUCUUCAGGGUCCUUCUCCAAUCUAUAUCCUACUCCAGAAUUCAAGCAAUUCAGAAUUGUCCUUUUUUUCGUUGACUAUCUGGAGAGGAGUUUUCAGUAGCUCUUCCUGUUGCCAUGUUGAAGACAUCACCCCCAUCCUAUAGACUUUGUAUCAUGAGAUGGAAGAAUCACUGAUUCCUGAAUCAGGGAGGCAGCCAUGAUAGCUGCCCAUCUCCAAGCACCUGGGUUGGAUUAUGAUUCUGAUGAAUUUCCUUUUAAAGUCAUUUGAAUUGGAUUUCUUUCAACUAAGAGUCUUUUCACUGAGCCUCUAAGAUGGUCCCUGUGAGUCUUGCUUCUUGUUGAUCCUGCCUUUGCAUCC